CGGUUAUUUCCUUGUUCCUUUAAGCAUAAAAGCAGUGGAGAACAGCAGGGCAUCAAACAUUGAGAGAAGCCAUUACCAGCGUCAUUGAGGAAAGAUGAAGCUGAGCCUAUGCCUCCUCCUGUUCCUCACCGUGCUGGCUUCAGCCCCGGUGGAGACACUUCUGAGCGUGACCUUGAGCCAUGCAAACGGCCUCCGUGGGGACGGCUGGUUCGGUAGGACUGACGGCUACGUCAAGGUGACCGCUGGAGGGACCACUCGCGAGACUCGCACCAUCCGGAACAACAACGACCCGUACUGGGGGCAAACUCUAAGUUUUGCUUCGCAGUUCCAGAUGACCUCCCUGAGCCUGCAGGUUUGGGACAGUGACAGCGGGUUUAGAGGCAGAGAUGAUUAUUUGGGAGGUUGCAGAGUUCCUAUAGUGAGAUCGUUUCGGAGCCGGUCACAUAGCUGCAGAAUUGGUUGGAGAGGAAGGGUUUUCUUCUCUUACAGGUACCCCUCAGCCCUAUAUCGCAACCUCGCUGUUGCAAAUUCUACACUCCCAGUUCCAACUGAGAUAACUACACCAGUGCCAUUAACGCAUACCUAGUAUGUGUUUGCUUUGUCAUCUCUCGGUUUUGGCUGGAGUUUUCAUUCAUGUCAUUAAUUGCUAUUUGAUCGAAAUAAUAAACUACAUUUGGCGGUGUUGGGGGUUAUGAAAGCUAUUUGAUGAUUUGGUGAUAGCAGCAACAAUUGUAAUUGUAGAAAAAGUUGAGAAUGUGCUUUAAGGAAUCACUGCAAUGGUAAUCUGAAAGAGUGCUAAUCUAAGAUUUGGGGAUUUCUGUAUUUCCUGAGAACCUCUGUCUGUGUUACAUGAUGAGAAUAUAAUCCACUGUAAUCAAAAGAUCUAACCCUGUCUUUCUUAUUAUAGCAACUGUUAUUCAGUGCUCUGAUUAAUAAAAUGUAGAAUUGAUUGCAAAUGCCCUUUUCUUCUAUUUCCUAAAUAACGAUCGAUCAAACCUGAUGAUGAAAUAAAGUUUUUAUCCAAAAAAUAA